rnacentral:rRNA from 1 species
UACGUAGGGUGCAAGCGUUAAUCGGAAUUACUGGGCGUAAAGCGUGCGCAGGCGGUUUUGUAAGUCUGUCGUGAAAUCCCCGGGCUCAACCUGGGAAUUGCGAUGGAGACUGCAAGGCUAGAAUCUGGCAGAGGGGGGUAGAAUUUCACGUGUAGCAGUGAAAUGCGUAGAGAUGUGGAGGAACACCGAUGGCGAAGGCAGCCCCCUGGGUCAAGAUUGACGCUCAUGCACGAAAGCGUGGGGAGCAAACAGGAUU